UCCCUUAGAUGUCCGGGGCCGCACGCGCGCUACACUGAAGGAAUCAGCGUGGCUUUCUCCCUGACCCGAAAGGGUUGGGAAACCCGUCGAAUCUCCUUCGUGAUAGGGAUUGGGGCUUGAAAUUGUUCCCCAUGAACGAGGAAUUCCCAGUAAGCGCGAGUCAUAAGCUCGCGUUGAUUACGUCCCUGCCCUUUGUACACACCGCCCGUCGCUCCUACCGAUUGAAUGCUCAGGUGAGCCAUUCGGACUUUCAUCAUGCUGGUUUCCAGUUUUGAUGAAGGAAAGUCUUGCGAACCUUAUCAUUUAGAGGAAGGAGAAGUCGUAACA
rnacentral:rRNA from 1 species